rnacentral:lncRNA from 1 species
UAAAGAUUUAGUAAUAAAGACAAUUUGUAUACAAAUUAUCUCCUGCCACACACUAUACCUUUAGAUUUUCAUUCAGGAUGUCUGAAUAGAAAAUUCCUUUGAUGAUAUCUUUAUAUGAAAAACAUUCCCAUCUAAUUUAAUGCACUUUCUAUAAUCUGAAUUUGAGAAUUUAAGCAUAAGUUAGACUUAAAAAAUUAAAGAAUAAAGUUACAUGAGUGGGCUCAUAUUGGUGAUUUGGAAUCUUGCAAAUUAGAUUUCCUUUCUGUUAUUGCUCAUGAUCAAUGUGCCUCAAUAUCCCUUUUAGUAAAAUUCUGUUUAAAAGAUAUUUUUGAUCCUCUGUUUCAUGUUUAAAUUAAAUUCAUUAGCAGCUGUCAACCUCCAAGGAAAAAUGUCAACACUAAUCUAGACAACAUCUGAAGGUGUCAGCUUUCCUUCAUUUAUCUCCUGUCCCCAGAAGGUCCGGAGCCAUCAAAUGAAAAACUCCAGAAUUUCCCACAAGGAAAUAAAUGGAACAUCACAAAGCAUAAAUGCACAAGGCAGUUCAUGUGCCUCAUAGAAAGUAAGAAGAAAGCUGGAUCAGGUCAAGGAGAAAAACAAGGCUGAAGGGCACAGUGGAGCUGAAUAUUGGAAAAAGGCUGAUGGCAAUUUGGAAGUGUGUAUGAAUGAAUGACCAAAGCACAUCAGACGACACACUUAGCUAUUCUGACAGUCUAAAACUGACCAUUAAAACAGCCAAAAAAAAAAAGGUGAAAAUUACCAAAAUGAAUCUAAAUGACAGGUGUCAAAAGAUUGUCAGUGUUUCCUAAAAGGUCUGUGGAAAUAUGUUUUCAUUAUGUUAAAUUCACAUCAAUUUCACAUAUAUCUGAGUACCUACUACUUCCAAAACAACGUUGGAGAUAAUGAAGGGAAUACAAGAAUGAAUAUGGUAUAAUCUCUGACAUCAGAAAGCUGAAAGUCUAUGAGAUGGCAUUACCAUAGUCUGGAGUACAACAUGGUGUAUUGAGUUAGCGCUGCCAAUUUUUGGAACCAAAUGUCUCUGAAAGGACAAUGCAGAAAGCCAUGGUAAAACUUGAUUACGCAUGUACAUGUUUGCAGAAGAAAAGAAGAUGUAAAAGGUCCUGUGGGUGUCACAGGUUAAGUGUGAGUAGGCUACAGAGGGUUCCCACUGUAGGGUGAAAAUUACUCUAUACUGGGGCUGUGCAGUAUUAUUAAGCUUGGUCCCUGAGAAGUCCAAAAGCAACUGUGGCAUUACAGGCUGUGAGGAAAAUGAAAGAAAAACUACACAAGGAGAAAGUAAGAGGAAUAGAGAAAAUACACCUGACCUCCUUCAAUUUUUGCCUAAACCCAGCCUUAAUAGUCCAUCUGUCGUGUUAAAACUUAUAUUGCUAAUAAGGAAAAGAGAGACCCCUCACAUUGUCCCUCACACUCCUUUUUUGUAUACACCCCCCAAACCGUUACUGCCUAAAUAAGAUUCUGUUGUUAAUGCCUCCUACUACUACGAAUUUUGAGGACAUUUCUGUUACAAUUUUAAAUAAAAUAAUUUUGAAUUUAUUUUCAAAUAUUUCAAAUGCAUUAAAAUAUGAUUAAAAACCAUCAGGCAUAAAAAAGUUUUCAUUAACAUCAUGAUUCAUAUAGGGAUUAUUUAGAACAUUCUGCAUUCUACCUGGGCAAAAGAUUGUUUUCCCUUUCUGAUAAGGGAAUAAGGGAUAAGAAAAACUGUCCUCCAUUGUCUGCAAAUAAGCCCUCUUGCUCAAAGUUCAAAAUCACCUUGAAAGAGACUUGCUUACAAAAAAUAUAAACAUAUGGAAUUUCCAAUGUUGUGCUUUACUUUAUCUGUUCGAACAGAAAAAUAACAACAUAGAGCAGGAAAUAUAUUUUUUUCUUGUUAUUUGAAGUUUUUUUUUUUAUUUGUUUUACUGCUUGGUCUGGGCAUUUGGUUUAUUAACUGUAACUCUUAAAAGCAGAGAUAAUUUUUGGAAAAUAUGAACCAGAGAGAGAAAUGUAAUGAAAACAAAAUUAAAUAAACCUUUCAAGUGCCAAAAAGAACAACUAACCCAACAGAGGUUAUUUUUAAAAAUACAACCGUAAUAUCCUGAAUUUGGUCAUAACCUAGAAUGUACACAAUCCUCCUGUUGAGUUAGUGAGGACAAAUUUAACUUUAGGAAUUCUCUGGGGAAAAAGGAAUUGUUCAUUCAAGGAAUAGUCCAGUUAAUGUUUAUUCCUUACCCUUUCCUUACCCUAAAGUCAUCCAUUUUUCCAUUGCUUUGAAGCAGCUUAUAAAUUUAGUAAUAACUACCAUUGUUGAGUGAUAAUUAAUCUGGCAUCCUGUGAAUGAAUUUAUUACAUGUAAAUUACCACAGUAUAUCUUCAAGCAGGCUCAAAUGCACAUGUGUAUAUCAUCUGUGAGAAAUAUUUUGAUCAACUCCAGAAUAGUGUAAAACAGUUUGGGAAAGAGUAGCUUUCAAAAAACCUAUUUUAAGGAAAUUGAACAAAUUAUCUCUAAUUUUGGCAACGCUAAUUUCACACAUUAUUGAAACUUUGAGGUAACUACAGGGUUUUUAGAUUAUAAUAUUUUUCAUUGACUAUAUAUAUACAUAAUAUGGAUAGACUAUACAAUAAUUAUUCAUUAAAAUCAGCUUCCAAUAUACUUCCUUAUUUUAAUUAUUAUUAUUAUUUUUAGAGACAGUGUCUUGCUCUGUUGCCCAGCCUAGUAUACAAUAGCAUGAUCAUACCUUAUGGCAGCCUUGAACUCCUGGACUCCAGUGAUCCUCCCACCUCAGCCUCCCAAGUAGCUAGGACUGCAGGCAUAUGCCACCACAUCUAGAUGAUUAAUUUUUUGUUUAAUAGAGACAGGAUCUCACUAUGUUGCUCAGGCUUGUCUCAAACUCCUCGCCUCAAGCAAUCUUCCCACCUUGGCCUCCCAAAGUGCUGGCAUUACAGGCAUGAGCCACCAUCCCUGCCCUCCACUAAAUUUUCUAUACUCUCUCAUGUGUUUUAUACUUUGUCAUCAUAAUUGAGUAUGGCAUCAAAG